rnacentral:rRNA from 1 species
AACGAACGCUGGCGGUAUGCUUAACACAUGCAAGUCGAACGAGAAAGCCUUCGGGUGAGUAGAGUGGCGCACGGGUGAGUAACGCGUAGAUAACCUACCCUUUAGUUGGGGAUAACCUUUCGAAAGAGAGGCUAAUACCCAAUAGGAAUUCUUUUGUAAGAGAGAAUUGAAAAACUCCGGUGCUAAAGGAUGGGUCUGCGUUCCAUUAGCUAGUUGGUAAGGUAACGGCUUACCAAGGCGACGAUGGAUAGCGGGUCUGAGAGGAUGAUCCGCCACACUGGCACUGAGACACGGGCCAG